rnacentral:rRNA from 1 species
AGAGUUUGAUCAUGGCUCAGAUUGAACGCUGGCGGCAGGCCUAACACAUGCAAGUCGAACGGUAACAUUUCUAGCUUGCUAGAAGAUGACGAGUGGCGGACGGGUGAGUAAUGCUUGGGAACUUGCCUUUGCGAGGGGGAUAACAGUUGGAAACGACUGCUAAUACCGCAUAAUGUCUUCGGACCAAACGGGGCUUCGGCUCCGGCGCAAAGAGAGGCCCAAGUGAGAUUAGCUAGUUGGUAAGGUAACGGCUUACCAAGGCGACGAUCUCUAGCUGUUCUGAGAGGAAGAUCAGCCACACUGGGACUGAGACACGGCCCAGACUCCUACGGGAGGCAGCAGUGGGGAAUAUUGCACAAUGGGGGAAACCCUGAUGCAGCCAUGCCGCGUGUGUGAAGAAGGCCUUCGGGUUGUAAAGCACUUUCAGUUGUGAGGAAAAGUUAGUAGUUAAUACCUGCUAGCCGUGACGUUAACAACAGAAGAAGCACCGGCUAACUCCGUGCCAGCAGCCGCGGUAAUACGGAGGGUGCGAGCGUUAAUCGGAAUUACUGGGCGUAAAGCGCACGCAGGCGGUUUGUUAAGCUAGAUGUGAAAGCCCCGGGCUCAACCUGGGAUGGUCAUUUAGAACUGGCAGACUAGAGUCUUGGAGAGGGGAGUGGAAUUCCAGGUGUAGCGGUGAAAUGCGUAGAUAUCUGGAGGAACAUCAGUGGCGAAGGCGACUCCCUGGCCAAAGACUGACGCUCAUGUGCGAAAGUGUGGGUAGCGAACAGG